rnacentral:rRNA from 1 species
CCUACGGGAGGCAGCAGUGAGGAAUAUUGGUCAAUGGGCGCGAGCCUGAACCAGCCAAGUAGCGUGAAGGAUGACUGCCCUACGGGUUGUAAACUUCUUUUAUAAAGGAAUAAAGUGAGGCACGAGUGCCUUUUUGUAAGUACUUUAUGAAUAAGGAUCGGCUAACUCCGUGCCAGCAGCCGCGGUAAUACGGAGGAUCCGAGCGUUAUCCGGAUUUAUUGGGUUUAAAGGGAGCGUAGAUGGGUUGUUAAGUGGGUUGUGAAAGUUUGCGGCUCAACCGUAAAAUUGCAAUUGAAACUGGCAGUCUAGAGUACAGUUGAGGUAGGCGGAAUUCGUGGUGUAGCGGUGAAAUGCUUAGAUAUCACGAAGAACACCGAUUGCGAAGGCAGCUUACUAAACUGCCACUGACGUUGAUGCACGAAGGUGUGGGUAGCGAACAGGAUUAGAUACCCUAGUAGUC